CGCGCUCCACACAAGUAAAAUCAAACUUGAGAAUGAGGCCAUCAGAAAGAUGAUGUAACACCAGUAGUUAAGAUUGCUUGAGAUAUAGCAAUAGUUAACUGCAUUAUGGUGU
rnacentral:sRNA from 1 species